rnacentral:sRNA from 1 species
CCCAAGCCAGGAAUAUAGGGAGCGUUGUAUAUAAAUACUGGUAUGUAUAUCCCUCCACGUCCAGCAAGACCCUCAGGGAACGCUCAGCGCUUGCAAACGCAUUCGUUCUCGUUCUGCACGGCGUCAACAAAGGCCUCCCCCACUUUCCAUGGCGUAGAUUUCCCGUGGUAGUCUCCACAAGCAGGAAACUCGCCCGCCCUCUGGUGACAGAUGGAUACUCUGGAAUUAGGACGAGACCCUCCCCACAAAGAUUUGCCUUGUACAAAACAGCUAUGGUUCGACCAGAAGGGACCGAACCGGAUACCUGAGAUGAGCCUGCUCUUGUUUUCCUUUUAGAGACCCAAACACCUAACAUCGAAAUAGCAUGCUUCCCUGUAGUUCUGGACACGAAGAGAUCCCGAAUAAAAGUUGCUUGCAUACCUACAACAGUGGACUUUUAGCUAUCAUGUGUGCUAGGUCAUACCAGCUCCCCUACUCCUAAAGUGAACGCGGAUGCAUCCAGUUCCAUUUUACGUGCCAACCCUAUUCAUCUUGAGCCGACCAGUUUUUCUGCUCCGGGCUGACACAACAUCUUUUCUCCUCACCCGAGACUUUCAAAGGGAUAGAAGUAGCUCUAAUUUGUAGCUUAGAAUUUGUUUGGAUUUAAAUUUUUACGGCCCUUC